rnacentral:rRNA from 1 species
UACGGAGGGUGCAAGCGUUAUCCGGAUUCACUGGGUUUAAAGGGUGCGUAGGCGGACAGGUAAGUCAGUGGUGAAAUCUCUGGGCUUAACCCAGAAACUGCCGUUGAUACUAUUUGUCUUGAAUAUCCUGGAGGUAGGCGGAAUAUGUCAUGUAGCGGUGAAAUGCUUAGAUAUGACAUAGAACACCGAUAGCGAAGGCAGCUUACUACAGGAUGAUUGACGCUGAGGCACGAAAGCGUGGGGAUCAAACAGG